rnacentral:rRNA from 1 species
AACGUAGGAGGCAAGCGUUAUUCGGAUUUAUUGGGCGUAAAGCGCGUGCAGGCGGUUUGGUAAGUUGGAUGUGAAAGCUCCUGGCUUAACUUGGAGAAGUCGUUCAAUACUAUCAAACUAGAGAAUGGGAGAGGGAGGUGGAAUUCCGGGUGUAGUGGUGAAAUGCGUAGAUAUCCGGAGGAACACCAGUGGCGAAAGCGGCCUCCUAGACCAUUUCUGACGCUAAGACGCGAAAGCUAGGGUAGCAAACGGG